CCCCAGGUCAGGCGGGACUACCCGCUGAGUUUAAGCAUAUAAAUAAGCGGAGGAGAAGAAACUUACAAGGAUUCCCCUAGUAACGGCGAGCGAACCGGGAACAGCCCAGCUUGAGAAUCGGACGGCUGUGCCGUCCGAAUUGUAGUCUGGAGACGCGUCCUCAGCGACGGACCGGGCCCAAGUCCCCUGGAAAGGGGCGCCUGGGAGGGUGAGAGCCCCGUCCGGCCCGGACCCUGUCGCCCCACGAGGCGCGGUC
rnacentral:ncRNA from 1 species